CCAGACUCCUACGGGAGGCAGCAGUGAGGAAUAUUGGUCAAUGGGCGAGAGCCUGAACCAGCCAAGUCGCGUGAGGGAAGACGGUCCUAUGGAUUGUAAACCUCUUUUGCCGGGGAGCAAAGUGCCGCACGUGUGCGGUUUGGAGAGUACCCGGAGAAAAAGCAUCGGCUAACUCCGUGCCAGCAGCCGCGGUAAUACGGAGGAUGCGAGCGUUAUCCGGAUUUACUGGGCGUAAAGGGGGCGCAGGCGGCGCGCCAAGUCUGAUGUGGAACCCCGGGGCUCAACCCCGGGCAUGCAUUGGAAACUGGCGGGCUGGAGUGCCGGAGAGGUAAGCGGAAUUCCUAGUGUAGCGGUGAAAUGCGUAGAUAUUAGGAGGAACACCAGUGGCGAAGGCGGCUUACUGGACGGCAACUGACGCUGAGGCUCGAAAGCGUGGGGAGCAAACAGGAUUAGAUACCCUAGUACAA
rnacentral:rRNA from 1 species